UUUUUUUUAAAGAAAGCUCUAGGCCCAACGUGGAGCUUGAACCCGUGACCCCAAGAUCAAAAGUUGCUUGCUCUUCCCACUGAGCCAGCCAGGCACCCCGAUAUACUUGUACUUAUUAAUGAAGAGACACUCUACAAUGGAGAAAACGGACAGACUCUACAAUGGAGAAAACUGACAGACACCAGACAGGGUUGUGGAGCUCAAAGGCCAAGAAAGAAUUCUUGAGACAUUGUACAGUGUAACUUGGGUCCUUGGAGAAAGGAGGAGACUCCGACAAGGAGAUCACAGGUCACACGGGAUAAAGAAAUGGAGGCCCAGAGAGAUGAAAUUACUUGCCCAAAGGUUAUACAGCUAGUAAGUAACACAGCUGGGAUUGGAACACAGCUUCUAUGACUCAAGAGUCCAUGGACUUGACCAGCUGGUAAUAUGCUUGCCAGGCCAAUAAAGAGCUCAUCUUCAAAUGGCAUCAUUUUUUUUUUUUAAAUAAUGCAGAGGGAUGCUUAGAAUAACAAAGUCAUAAUGCAGGAAUAAAACAGUGUGGGAGGUCACUUAAUCCUCAAGCACUAGAUGAAUUCGAUUGAUUUACAUGCAUUUAAAAAUUUUCUUUCCAAAAUUGGUAAAAUGUCAUGUCACUGUCUACAAGCCUGAGCAUUAAGGUUCUUAUUUAAAGUACAAUUAAUUGGAGUGCCUGAGUGGCUCAGUCAGUUAAGCAUCUGCCUUUGGAUCGGGUCAUGAUUCCAGGGUCCUGGGAUCAAGCUCUGGGUCCUGGGAUUGAGCUCUGGGUCCUGGGAUCAAGCUCUGCAUCGGGCUCCCUGUUCAGCAGGGACCCUGCUUUCUCCUUCUCCCUCUGCCCCUCCACCCUGCUUGUGUACACUCUCUCUCUCAAAUAAAUAAAUAAAAUCUUUUAAAAAUAAAUAAAUAAAGUACAUUUG